ACACAGAAGUUAAGCCUCUUAACGCCGAUGGUACUACGAUGGAAACGUCGUGGGAGAGUAGGUAGUCGCCAAAC
rnacentral:rRNA from 1 species